CCUACGGGGCGCAGCAGUGGGGGAUAUUGCACAAUGGGGGGAACCCUGAUGCAGCGACGCCGCGUGGGUGAAGGAGCGUUUCGGCGCGUAAAGCCCUAUCGGCAGGGAAGAAGGAGGACGGUACCUGACGAAGAAGCCCCGGCUAACUACGUGCCAGCAGCCGCGGUAAUACGUAGGGGGCAAGCGUUAUUCGGAUUUACUGGGUGUAAAGGGGGCGCAGACGGCAGCGCAAGCCAGGAGUGAAAGCCCGGGGCCCAACCCCGGGACUGCACUUGGAACUGCGCGGCUGGAGUGCAGGAGGGGCAGGCGGAAUUCCUGGUGUAGCGGUGAAAUGCGUAGAUAUCAGGAGGAACACCAGUGGCGAAGGCGGCCUGCUGGACGGCGACUGACGUUGAGGCCCGAAAGCGUGGGGAGCAAACAGGAUUAGAUACCCCAGUAGUC
rnacentral:rRNA from 1 species